rnacentral:rRNA from 1 species
GGGCGCAGCCUGAUCUGCCAUGCCGCGUGAGUGAUGAAGGCCCUAGGGUCGUAAAGCUCUUUCGCCUGUGAAGAUAAUGACUGUAGCAGGUAAAGAAACCCCGGCUAACUCCGUGCCAGCAGCCGCGGUAAUACGA